GACGAACGCUGGCGGCGUGCUUAACACACGCAAGUCGAGCGGUAAGGCCCUUUCGGGGGUACACGAGCGGCGAACGGGUGAGUAACACGUGGGUGACCUGCCCUCAGCUCUGGGAUAAGCCUGGGAAACCGGGUCUAAUACCGGAUAUGACUCCAUGACGCAUGUUGUGGGGUGGAAAGCCUUGUGCGGCUGAGGAUGGGCCCGCGGCCUAUCAGCUUGUUGGUGGGGUGAUGGCCACCAAGGCGACGACGGGUAGCCGGCCUGAGAGGGCGACCGGCCACACUGGGACUGAGACACGGCCCAGACUCCUACGGGAGGCAGCAGUGGGGAAUCUUGCGCAAUGGGCGAAAGCCUGACGCAGCGACGCCGCGUGAGGGAUGACGGCCU
rnacentral:rRNA from 1 species